rnacentral:rRNA from 1 species
UACAGAGGGUGCGAGCGUUAAUCGGAAUUACUGGGCGUAAAGCGUGCGUAGACGGUUAUUUAAGUCGGGUGUGAAAGCCCCGGGCUCAACCUGGGAAUUGCAUUCGAGACUGAAUAGCUAGGGUACGGUAGAGGGAAGUGGAAUUUCCGGUGUAGCGGUGAAAUGCGUAGAUAUCGGAAGGAACAUCAGUGGCGAAAGCGGCUCUCUGGAACGGUACUGACGCUGAGACGCGAAAGCGUGGGGAGCGAACAGG